CCACACGACCGUACCGCAAACCGACACUGGUGCGCGAGAUGAGUAUUCUAAGGCGCUUGAGAGAACUCAGGAGAAGGAACUCGGCAAAUUGACACCGUAACUUCGGAAGAAGGUGUGCCCUAUUAGUGUGAAGUGAACAACGGAGCAUGAAUGGGUUGCAAAAAAUCGGUGGCUGCGACUGUUUAUUAAAAACACAGCACUCUGCAAACACGAAAGUGGACGUAUAGGGUGUGACGCCUGCCCGGUGCUGGAAGAUUAAAUGAUGGGGUGCAAGCUCUUGAUUGAAGUCCCAGUAAACGGCGGCCGUAACAAUAACGGUCCUAAGGUAGCGAAAUUCCUUGUCGGGUAAGUUCCGACCUGCACGAAUGGCGUAACGAUGGCCACACUGUCUCCUCCUGAGACUCAGCGAAGUUGAAAUGUUUGUGAUGAUGCAAUCUCCCCGCGGAAAGACGGAAAGACCCCAUGAACCUUUACUGUAGCUUUGUAUUGGACUUUGAACAGAUCUGUGUAGGAUAGGUGGGAGGCUUUGAAGCCAGGACGCUAGUUCUGGUGGAGCCAACGUUGAAAUACCACCCUGGUGUGUUUGAGGUUCUAACCUAGGUCCAUUAUCUGGAUCGGGGACAGUGCAUGGUAGGCAGUUUGACUGGGGCGGUCUCCUCCCAAAGCGUAACGGAGGAGUUCGAAGGUACGCUAGUUACGGUCGGACAUCGUGACGAUAGUGCAAUGGCAUAAGCGUGCUUAACUGCGAGACUGACAAGUCGAGCAGAUGCGAAAGCAGGACAUAGUGAUCCGGUGGUUCUGUAUGGAAGGGCCAUCGCUCAACGGAUAAAAGGUACUCUGGGGAUAACAGGCUGAUACCGCCCAAGAGUUCAUAUCGACGGCGGUGUUUGGCACCUCGAUGUCGGCUCAUCUCAUCCUGGGGCUGUAGCCGGUCCCAAGGGUAUGGCUGUUCGCCAUUUAAAGAGGUACGUGAGCUGGGUUUAAAACGUCGUGAGACAGUUUGGUCCCUAUCUUCCGUGGGCGCUGCAGAUUUGAGGAAGCCUGCUCCUAGUACGAGAGGACCGGAGUGGACACACCUCUGGUGUAUCGGUUGUCACGCCAGUGGCAUUGCCGAGUAGCUAAGUGUGGAAGAGAUAACCGCUGAAAGCAUCUAAGCGGGAAACUCGUUUCAAGAUGAGAUCUGCCGGGGCCUUGAGCCCCCUAAAGAGUCGUUCAAGACCAGGACGUUGAUAGGUCAGGUGUGGAAGCGCAGUAAUGCGUUAAGCUAACUGAUACUAAUUGCUCGUGCGGCUUGAUCU
rnacentral:rRNA from 1 species